CCGCCCGCUCUGCACAGCCGCCGUCCCGGGGCAACCACCGGCCACGCACUACCGCCUGGUGUACACCUGCAAGGUCUGCCAGACCCGGUCAGCAAAGACCAUCUCCAAGGCAGCCUACCAUAAAGGGGUGGUGAUCGUGACAUGUCCCGGCUGCGGCAACCACCACCUCAUGGCCGACAACCUGGGCUGGUUCUCCGACCUGGAGGGGAAGAGGAAUAUCGAGGAAAUCCUGGCAGCCAAAGGGGAGAAGGUGAGACGUGUGGCUGGUGAGGAAGCCUUGGAACUGCUGCUGGAAAGCUCGGCAGAUACCGGGUCUCAAAGUCAGCUCACGGAGGGAGAAAGCGGGGAAGAUCCCCCAGAGACUGGCAGCAAAGGACAGACCUGACGAGUGGGAUUUGUGUCGUUCUGCUGAUGGCAAGAGAGACUUUUAACCUUUAUUCCCUGAUUUCAGUGGGAAAUUUCUGUGUUUAAAAUAAAUUCGGGCAUUGGUCUUUCUCUGUUGUGUCU
rnacentral:lncRNA from 1 species